CCUUCUCUCCACCAUCAAGUUGGCGACUGGAACUGAAUCUCCGACGCCGUUUCGCGACUGGAUCUCCGAUGCACUACGCCGACUGGAAGUCUGGAACCAGAUCUCUCUCUCCGGUGAAACACUCAUUCUCUCUACCAUCACGUCGGCGACUGGAAUUGAAUCUCCUAUGUACGAUGUCGUUUCGCAACUGGAUCUCUAACGCACGAAUUGGAUCUCCGAUGCACGACGCCGACUGGAACCAAAUCUCUGAUUCUAUCUUCUUCCUCUCAAUGCCACCGGCCAUGUCUCUGUCUCAGGCUUCCUCGAUGACUCCCUCAAAUUCCUCCAUCUCAGAAAGUUGAAGAAGCUCAUGUUUUAGUUCAGCAAUGGUCACUGCCACUAAUUAUAUCUCCAAGUUCAAAUAUGAGGUAGCCACUCUCAGCCAAAUCAGUGAGAAUGAGAAGAAUAGAUUAAUCAACCUCUUCUCUCACUAUCUCAGGUGGGCGUCCACUUUCUGCUAUUUGGAGAAGACUGAUGGUUGCACCUUCAACUAUUGGUGACUUGCAAACGAUAGUAAAAGUGUGUUAUCCAAGUUUAGAGUCUCUCUGUCAAGCUCACAAGUUUGCUUUAUUGACAUGUUGGGAAUUGUUUCGUAUUACAUGAAUUUUACAAACUGUUGACUAGUGUCUUGUUCCAGAAACACUUAGAAGUGUCAACUCUGUCAUAUUACACCAAAUUGGUGGAUAUCAAGCUUUAGUUUGUUUUGUUUUGA